CAGUCGCCGCGGUAAUACGUAUGUCGCAAGCGUUAUCCGGAAUUAUUGGGCAUAAAGGGCAUCUAGGCGGCCAGGCAAGUCUGGGGUGAAAACCUGCAGCUCAACCGCAGGCCUGCCCUGGAAACUGCGUGGCUAGAGUGCUGGAGAGGUGGACGGAACUGCACGAGUAGAGGUGAAAUUCGUAGAUAUGUGCAGGAAUGCCGAUGAUGAAGAUAGUUCACUGGACGGUAACUGACGCUGAAGUGCGAAAGCUAGGGGAGCAAACAGGAUUAGAUACCCCAGUAGUCCCUGUCUCUUAUAA
rnacentral:rRNA from 1 species